UGUUGGUCCAAAGGUAGUGAGUUAUCUCAAUUGAUUGUUCACAGUCAGUACAGAUUGAACUCCUUGUUCUACUCUUUCCCCCCUUCUCACUAUUGCACUUGACUAGUCUUUA
rnacentral:Y_RNA from 1 species